rnacentral:rRNA from 1 species
GACGAACGCUGGCGGCGUGCUUAACACAUGCAAGUCGAACGAUGAAGAAAAGAAUCGAAGCUUCGGCAGAAAUUCAUUUCGGAUUAGUGGCAGACGGGUGAGUAACGCGUGAGCAACCUACCUCUUACAAAGGGAUAGCCUCGGGAAACCGGGAUUAAUACCAUAUAACAUUGUGACGAAGCAUUUCGAUGCAAUCAAAGCUACGGCGGUAAGAGAUGGGCGCGCGUCCCAUUAACCGGAUGGUGAGGUAACGGCUCACCAUAGUGACGAUGGGUAACCGGCCUGAGAGGGUGAACGGUCACACUGGAACUGAGACACAGUCCAGACUCCUACGGGAGGCAGCAGUGGGGAAUAUUGCACAAUGGAGGGAACUCUGAUGCAGCGACGCCGCGUGAGUGAUGAAGGAAUUCGUGACGUAAAACUCUGUUCUAUGGGAAGAAAAGGACGGUACCAUAGGAGAAAGCUCCGGCUAAAUACGUG